AUGGUACCAGAAAGUCAGGUGUCACCAGGAUUCAAAGAAAAGUCUGGAGAGGAGAAGGAGAAACUCAGUAAAUACAAAGGUCAGCAAUCUCCUGGAAAUUUGAGGAAUCAGAGUAAAAGUAACAGUCAAGAAAAACUCCAAGGUGAUUCCUCCAAGGUAACUCCAUCCCGUAAAAGGAAAGUGUCUGAAGCAUCUAUGCAAGUUCCUAGAACUGCAAGUGUGUCCACAAGGAGUUCCUCUUUUUUUAUCAGCACAUCCACUCCUUUUAAAGGGAGGUAUAAAUUGCCUUUGGAAAUGACCAGCUCUGCUAACAGGUCUGACAAUGAAAAAAUAAAUGAGAGCAGAAUGAAGAGUUUCUAUCAGGAGCCUCCUGGACAAAUCCGUUCUGAAGCAGUCAUAAAAAUGGUACCAGAGGCCACAGAAAAGAAAGCUUUAGGCAAGUAAUUUUACAAGCACUGGCAGUCCUUUUAAAAUUAAUUUUUUCUUUUGCCAUAAUAAUUGACACCAAAUUAAUGUCUCAUUUAGAUGAAGUGUUAGAUAUUGUUCCUGAUUCUCAGCCAGUUGGGAGAAGCCAC
rnacentral:lncRNA from 1 species